rnacentral:tRNA from 1 species
AGGUUCAUAGUGUCAAUGGUAGCACGUCAGUCUCCAAAACUGAAAGUAGGGGUUCAAAUCCUCUUGGACCUGCCA